rnacentral:rRNA from 1 species
ACUACGGGGAGCAGCAGUGGGGAAUAUUGGGCAAUGGGCGCAAGCCUGACCCAGCAACGCCGCGUGAAGGAAGAAGGCUUUCGGGUUGUAAACUUCUUUUGUCAGGGACGAAGCAAGUGACGGUACCUGACGAAUAAGCCACGGCUAACUACGUGCCAGCAGCCGCGGUAAUACGUAGGUGGCAAGCGUUAUCCGGAUUUACUGGGUGUAAAGGGCGUGUAGGCGGGGAAGCAAGUCAGAUGUGAAAACCACGGGCUCAACCUGUGGCCUGCAUUUGAAACUGUUUUUCUUGAGUGCUGGAGAGGCAAUCGGAAUUCCGUGGGUAGCGGUGAAAUGCGUAGAUAUACGGAGGAACACCAGUGGCGAAGGCGGAUUGCUGGACAGUAACUGACGCUGAGGCGCGAAAGCGUGGGGAGCAAACAGGAUUAGAUACCCCUGUAGUC